CUNANNGAGCAGCUACNUGUAUAUCGACNUUACGAUGAGGCAAGUUUGAUCUAUAAGGCUCAAGACUUGAGCCGGUCGGCUGUGCAAGCCUAACACAAAUUUUGGCCCAAAAAAAGGGUUUUUCCCCGGGAAAGGCCCCCGGGGGGGAAAAANAUUUUUAUGNGNAACAAAAAACCCCCUCUGGGGNCANGGCACUCGGGCACCAAAACGGGGGUCCCCCCCAAUUUUUAUUUUNGGNGGANCCCCANAUUUUUUCCCCCCUCCCCCCCGUAUNCCAUAUAUAUUCAUCUGUNUGUUGACUCAAAAAAAAAUUUUUAUUCUCUCCCCCCCGAAAUGGNCCCAUGUCCGGUACCGGGGNCCCCUCCUCUGGUAGAGCGGGNGGGGCAAAAAAACCCCCUCCUCACUGGGAGCCGCGGUGAGCUACAGGCAGGCNCGUCCUGCCCACCUUUUUUAGUUAGUGGUGGCGGGCNACAAAAAAAAGCGGUCGUCGUCGCGCUUUUUUUAAACACAACANAAANAUUUUAUAAGGGCCCGCCCAAGAGGUUUAUAAAAAACACGGGGCCCAUCGAGCGCGCCCAAACAAAAAGAGUUUNACACCAUCGCUUUUUANUUGGAGCCCCAACCCCCCUUUUGUGGCAUGCGCGGUUUUAUUAAAAAAAAACGACGCGGGCGUUUUUUUAUUUAUAUGCGCGGCAGCGCAUGAGCACUCAGGGGAGCGCGGGACCGGGGGGAAAAACACCCGCAAAAAAAAAAAUAAUAACCCCGCAGUGGGGGUGGUUUUAAUAUUUAAUUNUUCACCCCACUCACGGAGGAAAGCCAACCNANCAGGCCCGGAACAAAAAUAAACCCUCUGGUGUGCGCCCCCCC
rnacentral:rRNA from 1 species